UGGAUCGAUGAUGACUACUGGUCGCGUAUGAGUCAAAUACGGUGACUACAUGUGUGAAACUCUGAGGUCCAA
ensembl:snoRNA